rnacentral:tRNA from 1 species
AAAUUAUUAAGUUUUAAAAACGUAUAUUUUGAAAGUAUAAUUAGAAAAAUUUAUUCAAUAGUUA